rnacentral:rRNA from 1 species
GACGAACGCUGGCGGCGUGCUUAACACAUGCAAGUCGAACGGAAAGGCCGGGCUUUGGUGGGGUGCGCGAGUGGCGAACGGGGGAGUAACACGUAAGUAACCUGCCCUUGACUGUGGGAUAACUUCAGGAAACUGGGGGUAAUACCGGAUAGGAUCUCCUGCUGCAUGGUGGGGGUUGGAAAGUUUCGGCGGUUGGGGAUGGACUCGCGUCUUAUCAGCUUGUUGGUGGGGUAGUGGCUUACCAAGGCUUUGACGGGUAGCCGGCCUGAGAGGGUGAGCGGACACAUUGGGACUGAGCUACGGCCCAGACUACUCCGGGAGGGAGCAGUGGGGAAUAUUGCACAAUGGGCUGAGGCAUGAUGCAGUACAGCCGCGUGGGGGAUGACGGCAUUCGGGUUGUAAACCGCUUUCGCCUGUGACGAAGCGUGAGUGACGGUAAUGGGUAAAGAAGCACCGGCUAACUACGUG